GAAAAGAAACCAACAGGGAUUGCCUCAGUAACGGCGAGUGAAGCGGCAACAGCUCAGAUUUGGAAUCUGGUCCUUUGGGGCCCGAGUUGUAAUCUGGAGAGGAUGCUUCUGGCGCGGCGCCGUCCGAGUUCCCUGGAACGGGACGCCGGAGAGGGUGAGAGCCCCGUACGGUCGGACGCCUAGCCUGUGUGAAGCUCCUUCGACGAGUCGAGUAGUUUGGGAAUGCUGCUCAAAAUGGGAGGUAAAUUUCUUCUAAAGCUAAAUACCGGCCAGAGACCGAUAGCGCACAAGUAGAGUGAUCGAAAGAUGAAAAGCACUUUGAAAAGAGGGUCAAACAGUACGUGAAAUUGUUGAAAGGGAAGCGCCCGUGGCCAGACUUGUGCCCGGCAGACCAUCCGGCGCCCCCGCGCCGGUGCACUCUGCCGGGCGCAGGCCAGCAUCGGUUUUCCCAGGGGGAUAAAGGCGGCGGGAACGUGGCUCCCUCGGGAGCGUUAUAGCCCGCCGUGUCAUGCCUCUGGGGGGACCGAGGACCGCGCAUUUAUGCAAGGAUGCUGGCGUAAUGG
rnacentral:rRNA from 2 species